UGUGAUUGGUUACCUUACUCAGGAUGAUA
rnacentral:piRNA from 1 species